CUGGAUGCACCAACACUCCAAUGAUAUCUGCAUAAACAUGUAACUUUUAGUAUAUAUCUAUUAGUAUAAAAUUGAUACUGAAAAUAUCAUAAAUGAAUAAAAGUUUUUGUAUACCAAAUAAUGAGCCAUUGUAUAAGUUAUCUUUUACUUGAACCUCCUCAAAUGAUUUGAAUGAAAAUCUUUUCAUUGGAAAAUUCUGAACAAAUAGUUCAUGUAUCUUUGUGUCUUCACAUAGUAUGAUCUUGUACUUGUGUGUAGUAAGCUUGUUCUUCUUUGUGUUGUGCACGACCUUGAAAUUUUUGAUUCCAUACACCAAUCCUUCCACCAAUUGAUCCUUGAAGGUGGAAAUGAGAUUCUUGGGAAUGGUAGCCUCAAUUCUAUCUCCCUAUACAAAUCAUACUAUAUAAAAAAAAAUGUUAGUUUUUCAUGGAAUAAGAAAUUUGAGGGCUACAAAUGAUAAUUUUUCAAAGUUCUCAUACUUGAAAAUCAUGAAGAAUGCAUUCCCAACUAAUGAUUUCUUCUUUGUUUGUAAAUGAAGGAUUUCCAUAGGAGCGGACCAGUCGAACUUUGACGCCAAAUGUGGUUCUUGAGUCAUCCAAAUCACAAAUGGAAGACCACAUACUGGGCAUGAAUCCAAAUAUGAAGCUAAAAAAUCUACAAAGCAACGAAGUAUAUUAUUUAUUCUUGUUUGAGUGUGAAAAAAAUGAUAGGAACUUGUUUUGUCGAAAUAAAAAUCGAAACAUGUAUUGAUAAAUUAGAUUUUACCGAUAGUGUGUUUACUUACUUUUGAAAUCUUUUGUGGUUGCAGGAUUUGUGAUGUUUGCUGAUUUCCUGGACGGUGAGAAGAGAUUCGUUGUAUGUAAUUUAACAGCUUUUUGCAAAAUUGUUAAGCUUUUGUAUAUAAUGUUUAUUUAUAAGGAUGGAGCGACCUUUCAAAUUCUGCAGUAUGUUGGGCGGUGGCCUGAAUAAUAUCUAUUACUAUAUAUGACAUAGAAAAUUGUUACGCUUUUAACUUUUUGUUGGGCGGUGGCUGUAAUAAUUGUUUUGAAUAUUGAGCCUCUUGCAUGUUUAAUUGUUGGGCAGC
rnacentral:lncRNA from 1 species